AUGAAGAACGCAGCGAAAUGCGAUAAGUAAUGUGAAUUGCAGAAUUCAGUGAAUCAUCGAAUCUUUGAACGCACAUUGCGCCCGCCAGUAUUCUGGCGGGCAUGCCUGUUCGAGCGUCAUUUCAACCCUCAAGCCCAGCUUGGUGUUGGGGAUCGGCACAGGCGCCCUCGGGCGCCCGCCGUCCCCUAAAUCUAGUGGCGGUCCCGCUGCAGCCUCCUCUGCGUAGUAGUUUUCUCCUCGCAAGGGCAGCUCGGUGGCGACCUCGCCGUAAAACCCCCAACUUCUGAAAGGUUGACCUCGAAUCAGGUAGGAAUACCCGCUGAACUUAAGCAUAUCAAUAAGCGGAGGA
rnacentral:misc_RNA from 1 species